rnacentral:rRNA from 1 species
CCUACGGGAGGCAGCAGUGGGGAAUAUUGCUCAAUGGGCGGAACCCUGAUGCAGCGACGCCGCGUGGGUGAAGGAGUAUUUCGGUAUGUAAAGCCCUAUCAGCAGGGAAGAACAAUGACGGUCCCUGACGAAGAAGCACCGGCUAAAUACGUGCCAGCAGCCGCGGUAAUACGUAUGGUGCAAGCGUUAGCCGGAUUUACUGGGUGUAAAGGGAUCGCAGGUGGCGCGAUAAGGCUGGUGUGAAAGCCCGCGGCUCAUCCGCGGGACUGCAUUGGAAACUGGCGCGCUGGAGUGCCGGAGGGGUAGGCGGAAUUCCUGGUGUAGCGGUGAAAUGCGUAGAUAUUAGGAGGAACACCAGUGGCGAAGGCGGCCUACUGGACUGUAACUGACGCUGAGGCUCGAAAGCGUGGGGAGCAAACAGGAUUAGAUACCCCAGUAGUC